rnacentral:rRNA from 1 species
AGAGUUUGAUCCUAACUCAGGAUGAACGCUAGCUACAGGCUUAACACAUGCAAGUCGAGGGGCAGCAUGAACUUAGCUUGCUAAGUUUGAUGGCGACCGGCGCACGGGUGAGUAACACGUAUCCAACCUGCCGAUGACUCGGGGAUAGCCUUUCGAAAGAAAGAUUAAUACCCGAUGGCAUAGUUCUUCCGCAUGGUAGAACUAUUAAAGAAUUUCGGUCAUCGAUGGGGAUGCGUUCCAUUAGGUUGUUGGG